rnacentral:rRNA from 1 species
CGAGCGGACGGAUGGGAGCUUGCUCCCUGAAGUCAGCGGCGGACGGGUGAGUAACACGUGGGCAACCUGCCUGUAAGACUGGGAUAACUUCGGGAAACCGGAGCUAAUACCGGAUAAUGCACAGCCUCUCAUGAGGCUAUGCUGAAAGAUGGUUUCGGCUAUCACUUACAGAUGGGCCCGCGGCGCAUUAGCUAGUUGGUGAGGUAACGGCUCACCAAGGCAACGAUGCGUAGCCGACCUGAGAGGGUGAUCGGCCACACUGGGACUGAGACACGGCCCAGACUCCUACGGGAGGCAGCAGUAGGGAAUCUUCCGCAAUGGACGAAAGUCUGACGGAGCAACGCCGCGUGAGUGAUGAAGGUUUUCGGAUCGUAAAACUCUGUUGUCAGGGAAGAACAAGUGCCGGAGUAACUGCCGGCACCUUGACGGUACCUGACCAGAAAGCCACGGCUAACUACGUGCCAGCAGCCGCGGUAAUACGUAGGUGGCAAGCGUUGUCCGGAAUUAUUGGGCGUAAAGCGCGCGCAGGCGGUCUCUUAAGUCUGAUGUGAAAGCCCACGGCUCAACCGUGGAGGGUCAUUGGAAACUGGGGGACUUGAGUGCAGAAGAGGAAAGUGGAAUUCCACGUGUAGCGGUGAAAUGCGUAGAGAUGUGGAGGAACACCAGUGGCGAAGGCGACUUUCUGGUCUGUAACUGACGCUGAGGCGCGAAAGCGUGGGGAGCAAACAGGAUUAGAUACCCUGGUAGUCCACGCCGUAAACGAUGAGUGCUAAGUGUUAGAGGGUUUCCGCCCUUUAGUGCUGCAGCAAACGCAUUAAGCACUCCGCCCGGGGGAGUACGGCCGCAAGGCUGAAACUCAAAGGAAUUGACGGGGGCCCGCACAAGCGGUGGAACCAGGUGGUUUAAUUCGAAGCAACGCCGAAGAAACCUUACCAGGUCUUGACAUCUCCGGACAACCCUAGAAGAUAGGGGCGUUUCCCCUUUCGGGGGAAAAGGAAGAACAGGUGG